AAAUUUCGUUUUGAAAAAAUAUGAAAUGGAAGAUAAGUAAUGGAUUCCCUGCUUUGUAACGCUAGCUGUUGAAUGUUGCUCAUCUCUGCCUGCAAAAAAUAUAUAGUCCAACUAUUCAACUUCAAACAACGCAUUUUACCUUCAUCUGUUAAAGAGUUUCCCUUGAAGAUGGCUGACACCGUGCUUAGUGUGAUCUUGGAUAAGAUACUUCCACUUGCUGCCGCCGAGAUCAGCCGGGCAUGGGGUGUAGAGAAAGACCUUCAGAAGCUUGCCGACAGUGUACGGAAGAUGGAAGCUUUGAUUUUUGAUGCUGAAUGCAAGCAAUCAACAACCAAAACCGCGCAGCUCUGGCUGAAAACGCUCCGGUCCAUAGCACGUGAUGCUGAGAUCGUGUUGGAUGACUUCGGAUAUGAAGUUCUGCGGCAGAAGGUUAAGAAUCGGAAGCGCGACAAGGUACGCAACUUCUUUUCUUCCUCAAAUCCUAUUUCCUUUCGUCUAGGGAUGGCUGACAAGAUCAAGGAAGUUAUGGCAUCUCUGGAGGAAGCUUACAAAGAAGCAAAACAGAUGGGGCUUCAUCCAGCUCAACUACCCAUGGCAUCUACUGAUCACAAAGUGGAUCGGUCGACUGAUCCUUUUGUGUACGAGUCAGAAACGGUGGGAAGGGAGGCUGACGUAUCUGAAGUUGUGAGCAGGUUAAUUAGCUCAGACUGUAAGAAGGAUUUACCCGUCAUCUCAAUAGUUGGGAUGGGUGGCCAGGGUAAAACAACCCUCGCACAGCUGGUGCUGAAAAAUGAGUGUGUAGUGAAGCACUUUGAUAAAAUAAUAUGGGUUUGUGUGUCUGAUGAUUUCAAAGUGGAAAGGCUGUUGAAUAAGAUGCUACCUUCCCCUGAGGCAAAAAGUGCUGACACGACAAACACGGAAGCAUUGGUGAGGAAGCUUCAAGAAAAUCUGAAAGGAAAAAGUUACUUGCUUGUCCUUGAUGAUAUUUGGAAUGAUGAUCCACUGAAAUGGGAUGGCAUGAGGAGACGUUUGUUGGCAAUUGGAGGUGCUCCAGGAAGCAAAAUAUUGGCUACCACACGUAGCGAUGAGGUAGCCUCAGCAAUGCAAACAUCUGGCUUGCAUCGUCUAGGCAUCCUCUCAGAAGAUCAUAGCUGGAUGUUGUUUGAAAAACUAGCAUUUGCAGACGGUGGUGCAAUAAAGACUCAAAAUCUGGUGGACAUUGGCAGAAGGAUACUGAAAAAGUGCGGCGGCGUGCCAUUAGCGAUCAAAGUGAUCGGGGUUUUGUUGUAUUCCAAAAAGGAUGCCUCGGAAUGGUCGAAGCUCGAGAGGAGUGAAAUAUGGAACGAGUCGACCAAUAUUGGAAAACGAGUCAUGUCUGCCCUGAAGCUGAGUUACGAGAACUUACCUUCAUGGUCAGUGAAACAAUGCUUCGCAAGUAGUUCCAUCUUCCCGAAGGACGCUGUCAUGCAAAAACAAAGGUUGAUACAGAUUUGGAUGGCCCAGGGAUUGAUAAAUGAUGCCAAGGUAGGAGGAGGUCAUUUGCAAAUGGAGGAUAUAGGCAGUGAGUAUUUCAACGUAUUGCUUCGGAGUUCUUUGUUGCAAGCUGGUUAUAAGAAUUCCAUUAACGGAAUUGUGAGCUGCCGGAUGCACGACCUUGUGCAUGAUCUUUCACUGCAAGUGUCAAAUAAUUGUUUCUUAAAUACAGAGGGUGGCAUGGAAGUCCGUCAUGAAAAUGAAGUUAUGCAUUUGACCAUCAUUGGGAGUCAAGGGAAGGUGUUAAAGAAUAUCGAAGGGAUUCUUCCAAAUUUGCAAACGCUUUAUUAUCGUGGGGGUGAUGGUAUUAUGCUCGAAGACAUCUUGGAAAGGUCUAAAUACCUUUCUGUGUUAAUAGUAGACUACUGGCAUAUGACUCAUCUCCCGAAUGCAGUGGGUGAUAUGAAACACUUAAGACAUCUUGAUAUCAGUGGAACUCGUAUCACCGCUCUGCCAGAUUCGGUCACAAAGCUCUACAAUUUGAUGACCUUGAAAGUACAUUACUUGAAAGAGAUACCUAAGAAGUUUGGCAAUUUAGUUAACUUAAGGCAUCUCGAGUUUUUCGAGCUUGGUUUCGUUGGGUUCAGAUGUUUGUUCCCUGGAAUCGGGCAGCUGGCUAAUCUUCGGACGUUGCCGUACUUCAGGGUAAGUCAAGACAAGGGAUGUCAACUUGAGGAGUUGGAACACUUGCGCAACCUCCGAGGCGAGUUAAGAAUUUCUGGACUUGAAAAUGUGAGCAGCUUUGAAUCCGCAGCAAAAGCAAAGUUGUCCGAAAAAUCAGGCAUUCAAAGUUUAGAACUUUCAUGGUGUGGCACGAAAGAAGGUUGCGACGACAACAAUAUCAACAGUGUCAUGGAUGGUCUCCAACCUCACCCACACUUGAAAAGUUUAGCCAUUGAGGGUUUCGAAGGUUCAAGGUUGCCGUCGUGGAUGGUGGCAAAGGAUGGCUUGAUGGUACUCCUUCGGAAUCUGGUACAGCUCACGUUGGGAGGAUUGGGUAAGUGUGAACAAGUACCACCACUAGGGGACUUGCCUUGUCUCGAGUACUUAGUGAUAGUCUCCUUACACAAUGUGAAGCGCAUUGGGGCUGAAUUCUAUGGUCUCGAUAUUAAUGCAAGGAGCAGCGCUUCUUGUAGUAGCAUCACCAGUAGCAGAGAGGUGAAAGCAGUCACUCUGUUUCCGAAACUGUCGCAUUUUGAGCUGCUGGACAUGGGAAGUCUAGAGGAGUGGUCAGAUGCAAUGGUUCCCUCGGAUUCUUCUUCAUCAAUUAAGGUAUUUCCUAAUCUCCGGUACUUGCGAAUCUAUAGGCUUCCCAAGUUGGCUGUUUUACCAGAUAUGGAGAACUUGACGUCUCUUGAGGAGUUAAGGAUGGAGAAAUGCGGAAGUUUGACUUGUAUAAGGAAUUUGAAUAGCCUUACAUCUCUCGAAUCCUUAUAUUUAGAUGACUUACCUGCUCUUGAAUCCUUAUGCUUGGAGAGCUUGACAUCUCUUGCGGAGUUAAGGAUAUUGCAAUGCGGAAGUUUGGCUUGUAUAAAGAAUUUGAAUAGCCUCACAUCUCUUAAAUCCUUAUAUUUAGGUGACUGCCCUGCUCUUGAAUGCUUAUGCUUGGAGAGCUUGACGUCUCUUGCGAGGUUGGGAAUACGGAGAUGCGGAAGUUUGGCUUGUAUAAGGAAUUUGAAUAGCCUCACAUCUCUUGAAUCCUUGGAUUUAGAUGACUGCCCUGCUUUAUUAGAUGCUUCUCUAGAUAUGUUAAACCCCCAAUCCCUACGUGAUCUAAGAAUCUCAAGAUGUGAUCAGUUGAAUCCUUGGUUGAGUAAUAAUCUUGAGAAGUUCCCGUCGCUCGAGCGGUUGGAUAUCCGCUCUCAUGACCCUGGUUCUUGGCCAAUUACGGUUCUCCACCAUCAGGCCAACCUCAGAUCGUUGACUCUCGGUGGCUUCUCUGACAACCUUGAUAAUUUCCCGUGGCCACACUCCAUCACCAAUCUCGUCUCUCUGGAGCGUCUUGUAUUGCAUGGAUGGCCAAAAAUCACGGCUCUCCCACACCAAAUUCAGCAUCUCUCUACCUUGACAUCUCUAUGGAUAUGGACGUUUGAGGGGUUGGAAGUUCUUCCAGAGUGGAUGGAUAGCCUUCGGAAUCUUCGAGAUUUGUGGAUUGGUGAUUGCUCUAACCUCAGACAGUUGCCCUCCGCAGAAGCAAUACGACACCUCACCAAUUUAAAUCGUCUAAGUAUCACCAGCUGUCCUCUUUUAGCAGAGAGAUGCACCAAAGGAAGUGGCGCAGAGUGGCCCAAGAUUGCACGCAUUCCCCAUGUUUAUAUCGAUGGAAGAACAGUGGAAACAAACCCCCUGUAACUGGUCAGAAUCAAGGCAACUCAUCCAUCGUCACAAAAAAAGCAGUUUUCUCAAACUGCCUUAUUAUUGAUUCCAGUAUUCUCUCCUUUGAGGGACAACAACCAUGAACGACCAAACUAUUUCCAGGAGCUGAGACCACGUUCAAAUGUUUGGGGGAUUUUGAUGAAUCCUGUUCUAACUAACUAUUGUGUUUGGAUUACAUUUUUUUGAAUUUUUUUGUAGAAAAAUUACUAUAGCGAUUUGAUGUAUGUGAAGUAAAAAAAUAACAGGAAAAUGUGUUCACGAGAAAACGUUGUAAUUUUUUCAAUGAAAAAUGACUGUCCAAACACCCCUUAUAAUGUUGAAGAGCAUAUAAAGGGAUUGUUUGUUAACGAGAAAACGUUGUACCUCAUAGUGUAUUUCUUUAUUGCUGUUUCUCAAUGUCCAACUCUAUUGUAAUGUGAAACUUAAGGUUAAGGUGAUGUGGGCAUAUUGUACCUUAUGAUCAA